CAACCUGUUGUUAUGGUGUCAUGCUCCACUUCAGAAAGAUAACAGCAAGUCUUCAUGUCUCACGUGCUUUUGCAAUAGUUUUCCUGCUGUGACUCACUUAGUUUUCAUAUCUUCAAAGAGGCUAUCUAAUUUGUGAGGCCUGAUUCUCCUUUUGUAAGUCUACACUAAUUGCACUUACAAAGAAUAGCAUCCUUGGGUAGUACUGGAAUUUAUUCUCUUGAUAAGAUACUUGCUUUGAAUAUGUGCUACUGAUACUGUGCUACUCAUGCAUGGAAAUGUUCGCAUGCCCUGGUUAAGGCCCACUUGGCUGUUUUGUCACAAUCAAUAAAAAAUGAUGCAUCUUUUUUGCAGUACAGAGUUCACCAACCUGCUAAAUCAAACACUAUCUUAUGCUAUUAAAUCAGGCAAUUAGGUGCUUGCUUUAUUGUAUUGUGCAAUGUGUGUACACAAGAUUAUGUAUUCUGGUCAGUGAUUCAGGGGAAUGAAAAGCAGCAGAUCAAGGUUCAAAAUCCACUAGUAACAAUGAGGGUCUCCCCAAGAUUCCACACUUGCUAAACACAUGCCAUUCAUUUCAAACUCACCAGCUCCAGUAAGAAGCAGAGUUUAAGUAUCCCAUUUUACUAACAGAGGUGCAUGGCUUCCUGCUAGACCAGAGUGUAAUGCUGUGAAAAUGGAGCUCACCAGUGUUGACCUACCCUAAGUUACAGAAUUUAUAACUACUUACUUUGUUUCUCCAUAUAAUCUCAAAAAAUUCUUCACAGGGUUGCUGCUUACUUCUGUUUAAUUGCUUAUUUCUGAAUGCUAUUCUUGUAGUCAGAAACAGAGCCCCUCACCCUCAGCGCUCAAAACCAGAAGUAAAGUGAACUUAAUAAACCAGAAAUGUUAAUGUAACUGGUUUCAGAUUCAUAGCCUGCUAUACUUCAUAAUCUAGUAGUGUUUUCUUUCAAACUGGCAAGCCCAGGCUGGUAACUAACAUAGCUUUGAACAAGGCCAAAUUUUCCUCUGCUCUAACAGGAGUUUCCAAAUAUUCAGUACCUCUAAAAGGCAUACCCAACUCAGAUAUUCAAAAUCAGGUUGCCUUAGAAGCUGGAUUCUAGCUCUCUUACUGCUUCAAUUUUCCCAAUUGUAAAAUUAAAAUUAUGAGUUCACUUUAUUAUUAACAAAUAAAUAUGAAAUGCACUCAAUGACCUCCAAUCUUUGGGAAAGUUUUGAUCUGUAGUCCUAUAUACUUUGUAACUAGAUGAUCUUUAAGGUCCCUUCUAACCCAAACUAUCCUAUGAUUAUGUGAUUUUAUACUCUGGAUCUAAUUAGAACUCUUACAGUUUUUCUUACAACUGGAGGGGGAAAAGUUUUCUUAAUCUGAGUAAGAAAGUAUUCUUCAUCUAACUAACUAACCAAAAGUCCUAAUUUAAGGAAAAAUGUUUGUAGAUUUCAUGUCAGUGAAAUAGUGUAAGAAGUGUGAUAGUUAAACUGUAGAUUUGUGUGAAAAUUAUACCUUCAUUGACUGUACCAUCAGUAGGCAAAUCUAAGAAUACUUCUUUCCUUUUAUUAUUACGAGCAUGUGGAAAACUCUUUCCCAAUCUCUUUGUCUUUGUUUUGCUAUAUGAGGUUACUUCUUCCUUAGAUUUAUUGGCAAAGGACUUCCUGAGAGUGUUUCUUAAUUUAGUCCUGGCAAGAUAAAUCUAGCUAAACUUGCCUUAACAGGUUCAAGGCAGAUAACGAGCAACUUGCAUGUGGACAUGGGAUGAUGUUUCUCAAUGUUCUGUUAUCUGAAGUUCAAGGAAAGCUAGUAAAACAGGUAGAUGCCAAAGGUUGUUCUUUGCCAGCUUCUGUUUCCUCUUAAAAAAACAGAAGAGCGUACAUCAACAAGUCCACAAAAGUCCAAACCUGCAACAGAAACUGAAAUGGAGUCCAGAAGGAGAAAGAAAGCACUUAGGAUAAAAAAAUAGUAUCUGCAUAAAUGUAGUUGAAUUUCUGAAAGUGAUAGAAAUUCAGCAUUUAUACUAUUUUGUUAUGUAUAUUCUGAGGGUUAAAAAAUCUGUUCCUCUUUCCCACGUGCCCACCAGGGCAGGAUUCUGUCACUCGUGAACCUUCAGAAUUUGGAUAGGUCAGCAAUUACUCAUCUUAAAGUAUCCACUUGUAUCAAGUUCACAAAUCAUUAAUGGAUAAUAAUGCCUCAUUGAUUAUGGAGAGAAGCAAUUAUAUUUGUUUGAGGGUAUGAUGAUAAUAUUCUGAAACCUGUACAAGGUUCACUGAAGAGGAACUGAAAGGCAUUUUAAUAAACAAAACUACUAAGUUCUUAUUUCUCUGAUGCCCUGGCAGGUUAAAUGCAGAGACAAAAUGGUACAAAGAAAUAGAGAAGAAAUUGCUACUUUAACAUUUCCCACAAGUCUCCUGUUCUGUAGACAGAGAUGUCAACACCUUCUCAGAUCUGCCAAAGGAGAGAAUUGUGUAAUGCUCCCCAGCCUGUGUCCAUCAAAUUACACCUGCUUAUUUCAGAUAGUUUAAAUAACAUUGUUAACUCAUCUCACAUUGCCUCACAUGGGUUAAUGAAUGAAUAAUUUGCACAAGAAGAUCAACCUCUAGAUCUGAAACCCUUGUAACUUAGGGGAGAAUAACAAUCUGUUCCAUCAGCAUUAGUGAAACAGAAAGCUGUAUCUUCUCUGUACAAUACUGUAACCAUGCAGUAAAAUCAUCCCAGAAGAGAACUUUGAAGAAUUACGUUCUCACCAAAGUAUAGUUUUAUACAUUAAUAGUCUCCCAGAUUUUAAUUUUGAAACAGCUGGAAUGAGGGCUUGGCACAGCAUCCUGAUACUUUCUUUGUAAAGCCCUGUUCUGUAACCAAAUGAACAAUAGGUACUGAGCCUACAAAAAACUCUGCAGUAAGACAGUGAAACUGUGAUCAUAGAAGAUCCCAGGACUAAAAGCCAGCUUGAAUUAUGUGUGCAGAACAAGGUCAUUUUUUGGAACUUCAUCUUCCAUUCCAACAAAGGAACAUAUAAAGAACAAAGAAGGGUAGAACACAAAAGUGUAGAAUGUAAUGGAAUGAUCAAGACCAUCAGGCUCUUUUGUGGAACAUAUUAAUGGCAGGUGAAACUGAAAAUGGACUAUUUUGGUGGAUUUUUUUUUUAAUAUCUCUUUCCUUAGAUAAUCCUCGAUAUUCCUGGAAGGCAUAUGUACCUUUGGUACAUAUGUACCUUUGUGUCAAUUACAAACUGUUAUAUUUCCUCUCUUUGAGCAACAGUUUUCUACAACCAGACUGAAAUCUGGUUCCUACUUUUCUGGGUCUGGAGAGACACCUUUCAUUGUGCUGACUGUUAGGCAUGUUCACAAGCGCAGUUUUCUCCCAGGAUACCUAUCAGUAUGCCUGCUUCAAAUACCAAAACAAAUGUAAAAUUUUUACACACUAAUUAGUAUAAUAUGUACACUACUUACUGUGGCAAAUAGACUACAAAGCAGAAGACUAGAGAGGAGGAUUGUGAAUUGUUUAAGAGUGCCUGCAUGUCCAUUUUUAUACCUCUGCCCAGGUGUUGCUUUGGGGAUACACCAGUUCACAAAGUAAUAGAAAUUAAUUCACUCUUUGUGUUCAAGCCACAAGUUUGUAGCUGUUCCCUCUGCCUGCCUGUGUCAACUGACACACUAAUGUAUGCCAAUGUAAGUACUAUAAGUGCAUCCCUCCUCACAAGCUGACCAGGUUGUGAGUUCAAGAAAGUCUGAGGUCACCAUGAAGCACAGGCUGGCUACUCCAUAAAGGAGGACAGCUGGGAGCUGAAGGAGACCCCAGAAAUUUGCUAAGAGCCCAGGACAUUUGGCAAGGUCAAGGUCAUGAGACGGGGUUAGGGAAAGCCAGGAAUACAAGCCAGCAAUUCAGAAUUGGGACCAGGCAGUGUAAGGAUAAUAAAUGAUCACCAGACAGGACCAUAGUGAUGAAGAAGGUCCAAGGUUGGGAUGGGACAUCAUCCUGUGCCCUAGGGUCUGGACCCAGAUUAGCAGGCUAAAGGCCAGGCAUAGACAGGAUUGUGAUGCAGUAGCACCUGUAGCUCAGGUAGGAUCCAAUCACUUAGGUCAAUUCCCACAAGAAGGUAAGGACUUUCUGCGGUGCUGUCUGCAAAGGAGGUCUCUUGGAGGGAUCUUUCCAAGCUUACCAGAGAGAAGGGAUAGUCCUCAAUGAUAUUUAAUUAGCCCUGAGGUAGCCAAACCCCCAGGAGGAGAGAUGGUAUCAAGGCCCUUCAAAAAAGUGCAUUUCAUAGCUCCAGUAACCAACAAUCACUGAGAGGAGAAAAAAAACUAACUCAAAAGCUGAGAACUCUUUUUAUUUCUGUCAAGCCAACUUCUUGCUCCUUCUAGAUCGCUUUAGUUUUUACUUCUUCUACCAGAAAUUUAAGGUUUCUAUAUUUAAGUUUAAAAGCAGAAGGAUGAUACAAAGAGAAAACAGAAAUUAAUUCUCUAAGUUACUACAUGCCUGCUAAAAAAGGUAAGAGUUUGUCUCUUCCUUCAAGAGAUUAGGACAAUGGAUUUAUAAAUUCACCCCAGCUGCUUAGUAAGUAAAUAGUGUCAAGGCUGUGACUGCUCUUUCAAACAAGAAUGAUGACAGAUAGCCACUAACAAUUAUUUCAUUAAAGUUCUGCUAGCAUCACAUAAGAAUGAGCAACUAGAGACCUCUCCAAGUGAUUUUUCACUCAAAUCCCAGGAAGCAGGCAGUGAAUCUAAAGGCAUGCAAAGAUCCAUUUGAAUAGCCAUGCCCUUCCUACUCCAGCAGUGGGAGAGUUCCAGGGUAACUACUUGCUGAAAACGUUUUUUCUGAACGUCUGCAGACAUCUCCCUGUAAGGGAGGCGUCUCUCUUUAGUACCUAAGCAAGUGGAACCUACUUCAAUCUUUACAUACAAAAAUAUCUCUAGUCUUUUUUCUGAAGCCUACCAAAAGCAUAUGUUUCUUCAACUUUUCUUACUUUGUCACAAUCAGGUUUUAUUUGUACUAAGCAGGUAUGCUUUUGGUUUAGUCAGCAUUUCUGUUCUAGACUGCCUUUAAAAAACGCCAAAAAACAAACUAUAUCAUGUGAAGUUUAAACUUACUCUUUUAUACUCAAAACUUCAGUGUCUUUUUCCUUUGCUUUCCUCAGAACAAUUCAGCUAAUUGUGAAGUCUUCCUCUCAUAUGGAACCACUUUUUCUCAAAGUGAACAAUAGUGAGUCAGUGAGUCAGCAGACAACAAGCUUCCUAAGUGAAGUCAGCAGUCCGUAUUUCCUCUCUAUUCUGUAAUGCAGUGGGAUGUGUCAGACAAAGAUCGCCAGACUGCUGUAUGUAUUUACCAGAAUUGCUAAAUACUUCAUCUUUGACCUUACCUCUAGUUUCUCUUUCUUUUCUUUUUGUACACUUACAGUCUUUUGUAUUAAAGCCAACGCCCCUGAUUUCAAAAGUAAGGAAAAACAACAGAUUCACAAAUUAGGGUAUCUUCUCCCUCAUUUUGUUUUUUACUUGCUUAUCCCUCUGGUCAGUAACUACAUUUACACAAACAAUAAGGACAGAACUAGUCAGGUAGCAGAAAUCCAUUAAUUUAUUCCUCUAAAUAAUUAAUGUCAAUGCCUCACUUUUUGCUAAAUCCCUUUAGUAUGGCUUUUUUGUAAAGCUCUCUUUCUGAUAAAGCUGCAAACUUAUGGAGUAUCUGUCAGAAAACAGACAUGGAUUCCUUUACAGACAUGUAAUGUUUCUUAUAGCAGCU
rnacentral:lncRNA from 1 species